rnacentral:rRNA from 1 species
GACGAACGCUGGCGGCGUGCCUAAUACAUGCAAGUAGGACGCAGUUGCGAACGGGUGAGUAACGCGUAGGUAACUGCCUAUGAGUGGGGGAUAAAUAUUGGAAACGAUAGCUAAUACCGCAUACUAGUAGAUGGACCUGCUUUGUAUUAGCUAGUAGGUAGGGUAAUGGCCUACCUAGGCGACGAUACAUAGCCGACUUGGGAGGGUGAUCGGCCAAACUGGGACCGAGACACGGCCCCGACUCCGACGGGGGGCAGGAGUAGGGAAGCUUCGGCAAUGGGGGGAACGCUGAACGAGGAACGGCGCGGGAGUGAAGAAGGUUGUCGGAUCGUAAAGCUCUGUUGUUAAGGGAGCGGUACUUAACCAGAAAGGGACGGCUAACUACGUGCCAGCAGCCGCGGUAAUAC